rnacentral:rRNA from 1 species
UACGAAGGGGACUAGCGUUGUUCGGAAUCACUGGGCGUAAAGCGCACGUAGGCGGAUUUGUAAGUCAGGGUUGAAAUCCCGGGGCUCAACCUCGGAACUGCCUUUGAUACUGCGAAUCUCGAGUCCGAUAGAGGUGGGUGGAAUUCCUAGUGUAGAGGUGAAAUUCGUAGAUAUUAGGAAGAACACCAGUGGCGAAGGCGACUUACUGGACACAUAUUGACGCUGAGGUGCGAAAGCGUGGGGAGCAAACAGG